rnacentral:rRNA from 1 species
CGACCGCUGGCGGCGUGCUUAACACAUGCACGUCGCACGGAAAGGCCCUGCUUUUGUGGGGUGCUCGAGUGGCGAACGGGUGAGUAACACGUGAGUAACCUGCCCUUGACUUUGGGAUAACUUCAGGAAACUGGGGCUAAUACCGGAUAGGAGCUCCUGCUGCAUGGUGGGGGUUGGAAAGUUUCGGCGGCUGGGGAUGGACUCGCGGCUUAUCAGCUUGUUGGUGGGGUAGUGGCUUACCAAGGCUUUGACGGGUAGCCGGCCUGAGAGGGUGACCGGCCACAUUGGGACUGAGAUACGGCCCAGACUCCUACGGGAGGCAGCAGUGGGGAAUAUUGCACAAUGGGCGGAAGCCUGAUGCAGCAACGCCGCGUGCGGGAUGACGGCCUUCGGGUUGUAAACCGCUUUCGCCUGUGACGAAGCGUGAGUGACGGUAAUGGGUAAAGAAGCACCGGCUAACUACGUG